GCCCACCUACGGGGGGCAGCAGUGGGGAAUAUUGCACAAUGGGGGAAACCCUGAUGCAGCAACGCCGCGUGAGUGAUGACGGCCUUCGGGUUGUAAACCUCUUUUGUCAGGGAGCAACGCCGGCUACGUGUAGCCGGACUGAGAGUACCUGAAGAAAAAGCAUCGGCUAACUCCGUGCCAGCAGCCGCGGUAAUACGGAGGAUGCGAGCGUUAUCCGGAUUUAUUGGGUUUAAAGAGUGCGUAGG
rnacentral:rRNA from 1 species